CCUCGUGCAAGAGAGUCUGAAUAAGUGUCCGAAUGUCUGAAUUAAACUAAUUAUUACAAAUUCGAAUGAAUACUAACUAGCUAAGUUAUUACAACAAGGAUAAUGAGAAAUAAACUAGCAAUCUACUUUUACUAGCCAUACGAUUAUAAAUAAACAAUAAUAAUUACUUAAUUACAACAAUAAUAAGAAAUUACAUCAAUCAUAAUAAGAAUAUUGAUUCAAACAACUAGGAGACCCAAUGCUCGCAUGCACAGUGCUCAAAAACUGCUAUGUCUGUCCAGACUGCUUUGCCUCACCUUUAGCCACUGCCCUCUGUUUCUGCUACAAAGUCUCUGUUUACCAAACGUUGGGAGUCGGCCGACUUGAAGUGAGAUCUAGUCGGGUCAAAAAAGUGCCGGUCGGCUCUAAAUGCUAUGCCAAAAAAUGUUUUAUGCUCUGAGGUGAGAACAGUACAGAUAGAGCCUUUCUAGGCCCUGUUUGUCCCUUCUGCCCCUCUCUGUCAUGGGAAACUCAAAAGAAGAGUGAUUUCGAGUUUGAAACCACCAACAAGCACAAUUUGAUGGCUUGAUGAUUUUGAACACGUUUGGACAAAAUUGAAUAAAUGCAAUGGAAAACCACCCCUCCCUCUUAUCAUGAAGGCUCAAAGAGGGAAGUAGACAUGCCCUAAGUUUUAUCAACGUAUCACAGAUUGAAAAGUGACAAUUCUUAAAAUGAUGGACUCGACAUAACGUCUGGCCGAAUCCAACCAACUCUAAACAUUUUCUUUAUGUCGGUUUAGUUCAUUUUGAGCCGAUGUUAUUAGUCUUUGCCAUUCUGUAAUUAGUUUGUCCAAAGUGAUGAUUAAGUCCACUACAUGAGAAGAAACUUCAAACGAGAAGUAAUCCUAAGCAUGAAAGAGAGCCUAUGCCUUGACGAUGAAUCUCCGAAGAGAUUAAGCCAUUGAGCAUAAGUUUCUUUCUCAUGCUUUGAAUAACUGUCGAUUGGUUGAAGUGACUCUCAAACAAAAGAAGAGAAGAAAAGAGGGAGGUUGUAGAAAUGAUUGCAGGAUCAAUUAUUAAAAUGAGACUCUUGACAUGACAUGAAAAUUAACCAAAGGAAAGCUAUCAAAGCAUGGGUAGCAUAACACAACAAGCUAGAUAUGAGGACUUACAACAUAACAAGCUAGAUAUUCAAAGCAUACACCAAUUAAAUAGAUUAGGACAGGCCUAAAACAGCCCCUAAUAUGCUAAAACAAUGGCCAAAAUCAUGUUAAAGAGCAUAAAAAAAGUAGGAAAUAACAAGGAAAUGCAAGGCUAGUGAACAAGAGCAAGGAGAGGUGGCUAACCUCUCCAUUUUUGAGACCUCAAACAUAUUUUUUAGCCUUUUUUAAACUUUGAAAAUUAGUUUAAAAAGUCAAAGAAAAGAUUGUAAAACAAGGGUGUGAGCUAUGAAGUAGAGUGCAAGAAAGGGAGUUAACCUUCUUUACCCUUUGGUAGCUAUUCAAACCCAAGUUUCAACACUUAAAAUAGGAUCAAAACACUACGAAAAACACAAGAAAUAGCCAGAGGAAGAAAAAAAUGAAAGCAAUACCAAGGUGGUAAGCUUAUACCUGUUGAAGGAGGUAAGCUUUUGUUUGUGAACCAAACUUGGUCCAAGCAUACUCUCGAGCUUGAAUUGUCAGUCACAAAGCUCAACCAAGGUUCUAAGUUAUGGUUCCAAGGUUGUGUAUGGUGUAUAGAUAUAGUAUAAGGAUGAUCAAAUAUCUCAAAGUUAGCUUGCACAAGAAGAAGGAGCUCUCAAGGGUUAUUUCACUUCUUUGACAAUUUUCCAACCUUUAACACUGAGAUAUAUGCUUGUAUUUAUAGAAUUUGAGCAAAAUAGAUCAAAAAUAUCUUCAAAAAUGGAUAGUUGGUUGAUUCCCGCCCAGAAUAGUGUUUUCAAUGUGGUACGGUCGGCUCCUAAUGUGCUCCCCUGUUCCACUAUUUUAAACUUAAUGCAAGGUGGCACAAUGUUCAAAAAUGAAUUUUUGGGGUAUGAAUAUGAAAGGUUUGGGAGUGGUUUUGGAGCUUGAACCUAAAUUCCUCUUUGAGAACUCGAACCACACUUAAUGUAACUUUUAUUAUUGAGUGCGCAGGACAAAGCAUCCAAGUCUUGCGGGCGGUCAAAAAUGGGGUGUAUACAAUUGCUCCUCUUUAACAUAACUUAAAGUCAUGGAAUAACAUGAGUGAAUGUCAAAGCCUAGAGAUGACCCAUUUGACGAGGCUGUAAGACUUGGGUAAGAAAACAAAUCAAAAUACAAUUGCCAAAAGUUGAACCAGAAGGUUGCCUACGUAUCCUCUUUGCAAGAAAUCAAACCUACGUAGUUCAAGGGCGGAAUGCAAAAUGAUAUGCGGGAAACAUAACUUAUGGUCAUGCAAUGAAACAAGAACGUAAAUAACAAGCGAUGAAACAAUACUAUAAGCAAAAGUAGGUAUGCAACACCUGAACAAAAGCAAAACAACUCAAAACCACGUCUCAUAUGGAAAGAGGUAAGUAAACAAACAUGGGGACAAAGAGAGUGCAAACCAAACCAUGUCUCGAGCAGGAAAGAUACCAACCUAACUACGUCUCAUGCAAAGAAGGUGGAGGGUGAUGUAAACACUGGGCGCACCCAAGGUUUUAACCAAGGAACUCUAGAUCCUAAUGCGUCUCACGCGAAAAGAGGAAAGGUGGAAUGAACAAACAGGCACACUUGCUAUUUUUAACUGAAGAAAACAACAAUCCCAACGCGUCUCAUGUGAGAGGAGAGGAGGAUGGUGUGAACAUCGGGCACACCUGAUGUUUUUAACCGAUUUGAACAAUCCUAACGUGUCUCACGCAAGAGGAGGAAAGAUGGUGUGAACAAACAGGCGCAUCUUCUAUUUUUAACCGAUUUGAACAAUCCUAAUGCAUCUCACGCAAAAGGAGGAAAGAUAACGUGCACACCAUGCACACCCGAUGUUUUUAACCGAUUUGAACAAUCCUAACGCAUCUCACAUGAGAAGAGGAAAGAUGGUGUGAACACCGAGCACACUUGAUGUUUUUAACCGAUUUGAACAAUCCUAACGCGUCUCACACGAGAGGAGGAAAGAUGGUGUGAACAAAUUGGCGCACUUGCUGGUUUUAACUGAUUUGAACAAUCCUAACGAGUCUCACGCGAGAGGAGAGGAGGUGGAUUCACUGAAGAAACAAACAAAUCAGAGUAGAGCAAGAUUAUCCCAUCCCUGGGAAGGCCUCGGAAAAUGAACCCAUGAAGUCCACGAAGAUACCAAUAAAAAGCAUAAACAAAAAUUUCCACAAUUCAACAAAAGAAACCCACAAAUCGAAAACUAGACUCGAAAUAGCAAAGUUUACAAGCAAGUUUGCCAAAUUUGAAAAUAGACUUAGCUUGAAUAAUGGAACACAUUACAAAUUCUCAAAACAACGAGAUAAUGGACCAAAGCAUGAAUUAACAACGUGAGAAACGAAUUAAUUAUGACUUCGGAACAACUCUAAACAAAAAAAAUUAUGAGCUCAAACUAAUUAAGAAAUUACCCAACUAUGAAUUAAUAAAACAUGAGUUAAACAAAUUAUGGAUCUUAAACACCUAUGAAUUCAACAAGUUAAAUGAAUAAAGCCGAGCACAGUACAAAAACUUUUUCCUUUCUUUUCAUUUUUUCUUUUCCUCCUAUUUUCCCUUCUUUUUUUUUUUCAUAUAUAUUUUCUUGAUUCUUCUCCUCUUCGUUUUUUAUUUUCUUUUUCUUCACCUUCCUCUUUUUUACUUUUUUUUCUCCUUCAAUACCCUCUUCAUUGUUUCUACACCCCUAUUUUCUUUUACAAACCCAACACUAAAACACAUUGAAACAAACAAAAACCAAAACUAGGUUUCCAUUUGGAGCCAGCCGGCUCCCAAUGAAGUACGGCCGACUUAAAAAGAGCUGGCCGGCUCGCGAUGGCAGCAAGGGCAGAUUCGGCAAAUGCCAAGCCCACGGUUGGUUUAAAUCAAACCCAACCCUUUUUCCACACAAGCCUACAUUCUAAAAACCUUCUUCUUCCUCUCAAAGCCUCCUUUCCCUCUAGAUUUUCCCUAUUGCCGCAAAACCCAUAAACCCUCUUGAAUAUUUUCGUAAAACCCACUCACUCUUUUACGCUUUGAACUAAACAAAAUUUGAUUUCAUUGAGUUUAGGGAUUCUCUCUUGGUUUUUCUUCCUUUCUCACAUCUUCAUUCACACUUUCCCAUCUUCCUCUUAUUUUUCACUUUCUCUUUAUUCUCUCUCCUAGGGUUUGGGAUUUUGGGUUUUUCACUCUAACUCACUCACUUACUCACUUUUCUCCAUUUCCCCACUUUCCUUCCAUGGCUAGUAAUAAGGUUCCCAUCCCCGACCCCGUCAUGCGUAUUGGUGCUACCUUAGGUGAGGAUAUGGAGGCCGAGGAUGUCUUUUCUCCCAUCCUUGAGCCAGAGUUGCCUCCCCUUGCUGAUAGACCAUUUGAUGUGGCCACCUACCAGCCACGUACACAUGUUCUGACCCCGAGCAGUAUCCUGCGAUUUGAGGGCCUUAUUCUAGGGAUUAACGACGACAUCUUACUGCGGGAGCCUAUCAAGCACUUGUCCGCCGAUGCCUCCAUGGUAAGCACAAUUCUUUUCUUAUUUGAGCAUAUUUGAAUUCCUUUCAAGGUACUAUAGAUACUGACAACAUUCCCAUACUACAGGUGAUGGCCAAAAGGAUUAGAGGUUAUGGGUCUAUUUCUGGCCCUAGGCACUAGUACAAGAGGCUUCCUGCAGAGGUUUGUGCAUUAGUUGACACGGUUGGCUUCGGGCCUUUCUGCUUAGGACUGGUGCAGAUGAGGGCUGACCUAUUUCUACACAGGGCCCUAGCAGAGCGAUGGUGGGACACCAUAGAUUCGUUCCACUUCUUGUUGAUCGGGGAGCUGACUUUGACCCUAUACGACUUCUCGAUGCUUACUGGCUUGUGGGUCAGGGUUGGUAGCUCGAUCCCUUUUGAUCCAGACAUGGCGCACUGGAAAGCUGCCCAGCUCCACCUCUUUGGAGUGAUCCCAGAUACUGUCGGUCCUGUGAUAGUGAGAUACAGUUGGUUCUUGGAGCACUUCUCUAAUUUUCGGCCAACUACUCCAAAGGAGGUCACUCAGUACGCUCGCUGAUUUCUUAUGUAUCUCCUCGGUACUACCCUGUUUGUGAAUAGGGAAAAUACCAUGGGGCUUUAUCUUUUGGGAGCACUGGUGCAUCUGUAGCGGGUGGGGAAGUAUGAUUGGGGUGGCGCCUGCCUAAUGAUCCCAAUAUUCCACAUCUUCUUCUUCCUGGCGUAAGGAUUGUCGAUGAUCUGCAUGAUGAGCCUCUGAUUGAUCACCUGAUACAGGAAGAAGACGGUAACAAACACCACGAGGACGACGAUUUUACUGCAUUCUUAUAGACGCGGGUGAUGACGCUUUUACCAAGCGCAUAGCUUGCUUACUUCCCAAAGCUGCUGCUGCUGCUGCUGGAGGUGCCCCUACUGCCACUCCUAUUCUUGGCUUCCUGCGAUUUCUACUGAAGUCAUAUACAUGCUACUAGACGGGGUGAUUGAGCAGGUCCCCCUUGAGCAUAUCGAGAAGAUGGAUCGCAGACAGGUGAUUGCUCCCGACAUCGAGCAGGUACUUACGGCGUAUGCCGAUGACCUACUCCGGACGAUUGACUGACUGCUUCUCAUGGUGUGGAGGAGACAGAUUGCUCUGGAAACUCACAGGAUUGAGCUUGAGUCGGCGCCAGCUGCACCUACAGGACCUUCUCCAACUGGGAGGAAAGGGAGACGGGGCCCAGUGAGAGGCAGAGGAUGGGCCGACUGGGGGAGAGGUAGAGUGAGGCAUUGCUCAUCUUCUGAGAAGUCCUUUGGCGGGUACACGACCCUUGAGGAUGAGGGGGAUGAGGUCGACAUGUAGUCCAGCAGCCCCAGUGACGAUAGCAACGCACCUCCUCCGCAGUUGAAGAGGAAGAGGGCGAUGAUGAGUUGAUACUCACUUUUCUUUUCUUUUCUUUUGCUUUGUAGUUAAGAACUAGCUUCAAAUAGACCCUUGUAUUUUUUUUUUAAAACUUUUCUUUUGUUUUUGCUUGUGUAAGACAAUGAUCGGGUUUGGACUCGUAAAUUAUGAAAAGAAAAUUUUGGGUGACUUCUCUUGUAUUGCAUAGCAUGCGAUGACUGU